AGAUCCUUUUACCCAAAUUCAUUGUUGCAGCAGAGAGGGGUGAGGCAGGACAGCUUUGUCUCAGCAGGUGGAGCCUGGUUAUAAAGUGUCCUUCUCCUGCUCCAGUGCAGUGACAGUCAGAAGUGAUUUGUUUGUUUCUGGUCUGUUUCAUUAUCAUUGGCUCUGGUGUGGGACAAUGCCCCUUCUGUCAGUUGAGUAUACCUACAGGUAAAUACUAACUCCUUAGCAACCACUACCUGUUUUAAAAGUUCCUAUUCCCUCUGAAAAUAAAAAGCUAAGUGAUCAGAAUCACUUCUAAAAGCACAUCCUGUAGCACUAUCUGUCCUCACUCCAGUCCCUCAUGCCUCCUCCUUUUCUCAUUAUUCUCAUCUCCUAAUGCUCUUAAUUUGAGAUCUGUGGAUCUCCUCAUGCCAGGGUUUAAUAAACAUAAGUUGAAUCAUAAAUUGAACCUGAAUUCUUCCACUGACUUCACUUUUACUUUCUAUUUCUUUGUUUCAUUUUCUUGUUGGCAGUGCCUCACCAUGGCACUCUACAUCACUAAGGUGAAGAACGCAACCCUGAUUCUUUUUGUUGACAAAAGUAUUUUUCCUCAUCUGUCAAACAGCUUCCCCUGUAAUUUAUCUCCUUUCGUCUCCUUCCCACCUUGCAAGUCUACUGUAAGAUGGGACAUCUUACAGAUGGGAAGGGAUGCAGGGGAUGGGUGUGGGAGAAAGAUCAGGGACUGGGGUGGAAGGUGGGUAAAGCCUCAAGCUGCCUUCCUGCUAGGCUACCCUAUGAUCAGCACCGUCCUCAGUAAGAAAACAGUAGCAUGUGCCACAUGGAUUCCACUGCACCACUUGGGUAGUCUCACUCCUGCCCAAAAGCUCAGUCUCAGUCUUAGAGAACCACCUCUGCUAUGUUAGGGGACUCUGGUGAGUCACUUAUGUUGGUGGGCCCUUGAGAAAAAUUGUGGCUGUGCAAAGAGAAGCAAGAGAUGAAGGACUUUUAUAGGGGAAGGGCUUGAGGUGGAAUAGGAUUUACGGGGCUGGAGAGAAGAGCUUGAACGAGUUAAUUAACCCCUAUGACGUUACACUGAAGGAAACUCUUGUCUUUCAGUUUGCAUCUGGGGAUUGGGCUUGAAUGAUUCAAAAUGCACCUGGCAGUUUUCAAAGCCUUUUUAAUAUGUGUUUUCAGGUGAAAGUUGGAACAACUGUAAGUUAGAUAAGACAGAUCAAUUUUAUUUUAUAGAAGAGGAAAUGGAGUCUCAAUAAUGUUUAGUGGCAUGCUCAAGAGCACAGAACUACAAAUGUCAGGCUCUGAACUCGAUCCCAGUGGUAUCCCACUCCCAGUCACUACUUAUUGAUUAUCAUGCAUGCUGUACCCUGCCCAUCUUCCUUUCUUGGAGAACCUCGCUUUGAACCAGCUGAUGUAUUUUAGGGAACACCUAAACCUUCAUGAAUAUGGUGUUUGCUUCUAUUGCUCAUGGGCCAUUGAAGCUAUGCAGGUUGCUAUGAAAACUGCUCAGUGGGCUGGACUGUUUUCCCACUGGUUCAGACUCAUGCUGUCUAUCUUUGGCCUGCACACAGAUCUCUGGGCUUUCAGAUGUUAAUAGUGUUUAUUUUCUUUUCCCCCUCCAGGCCCUUCUGGGGAAGUGUGGGCAAGGUGUGAGCAGAGAAAGGACAGCUUCCCUGGGAGCUCUCUCAGCUCCAGUGACCUCCUUAGCUUCCCCUGGCACCCUCUAAGCAACUCCACAGACAGGUCUGGGAUCAAGGGCAGUCUUCCCCUUCCCAUCCCCCUUUGGAUCAAGCUGGGCCUUGUUUUAAGUGCUGGACAGAAGGUGGGCCAAAUGUGAUUUGGAAGCCUAGAUGGGACAAUGGAGCAGCACAGGAGGGUUAUUAGGGUGUCUGGAGACUCUCUUGGCACUACACAGAUAUUCACCAAAUUCUCUGAAGGCAGGUGCCUUCAACAACUCUAAUGUGCCAGCUGUGAGACAUUCAGACAGUAUUAUUCACCCAGUAGGUGCUCCAAGUGUGAACCUAAUCGAUGUUGAUUAUGGUGUUAAUGAAGAAGAUGAUGAUGGCAACCAUAAAAAUAAAAAUAAAAAAAUCUCAGUCUUCAAAGAGAAGAACCUAAGGAGUUUGAAAGAACAUGUUUUCGAGCACCUGGGUAAUAAAUUUUCUCUUAUCAGCUUGA